rnacentral:rRNA from 1 species
UACGAAGGGGGCGAGCGUUGUUCGGAAUUACUGGGCGUAAAGGGCGCGCAGGCGGUCCUUCAAGUCAGAUGUGAAAGCCCCGGGCUCAACCUGGGAACUGCAUUUGAGACUGGAGGACUUGAGGACGGGAGAGGUGAGUGGAAUUCCGAGUGUAGAGGUGAAAUUCGUAGAUAUUCGGAAGAACACCAGUGGCGAAGGCGACUCACUGGACACAUAUUGACGCUGAGGCGCGAAGGCGUGGGGAGCGAACGGG